rnacentral:rRNA from 1 species
UCCACGCCGUAAACGAUGAGUGCUAGGUGUCGGGACGUCAAGUCUCGGUGCCGCAGCUAACGCAAUAAGCACUCCACCUGGGGAGUACGAUCGCAAGAUUGAAACUCAAAGGAAUUGACGGGGGCCCGCACAAGCGGUGGAGCAUGUGGUUUAAUUCGAAGCAACGCGAAGAACCUUACCAGGUCUUGACAUCCCCUUGACCGGUCUAUAACUAGACCUUCUCUUCGGAGCAAGGGAGACAGGUGGUGCAUGGUUGUCGUCAGCUCGUGUCGUGAGAUGUUGGGUUAAGUCCCGCAACGAGCGCAACCCUUAUCUUUAGUAGCCAGCAUUUCGGAUGGGGACUCUAGAGAGACUGCCGGGGAUAACUCGGAGGAAGGUGGGGAUGACGUCAAAUCAUCAUGCCCCUUAUGAUCUGGGCUACA